UCUGUAAACUAUGUGGGUGUUC
rnacentral:miRNA from 1 species